CACGUGUGCAACCUGCUUUAUUCUGGGGAUAGCCUUUCGAAAAGGAAGGAUUAAUACCCAUAAUAUAGAAAACGGCAUCGUUUUUUAUUGAAAACUCCGGUGGAUAGAGAUGGCACGCGCCAAGAUUAGAUAGUUGGUGAGGUAACGGCUCACCAAGUCUACGAUCUUUUAGGGGCUUGAGAGGGUGAUCCCCCACACUGGUACUGAGACACGGACCAGACUCCUACGGGAGGCAGCAGUGAGGAAUAUUGGACAAUGGGUGAGAGCCUGAUCCAGCCAUCCGCGUGAAGGACGACUGCCCUAUGGGUUGUAAACUUCUUUUGUAUAGGGAUAAACCUACCCUCGUGAGGGUAGCUGAAGGUACUAUACGAAUAAGCACCGGCUAACUCCGUGCCAGCAGCCGCGGUAAUACGGAGGGUGCAAGCGUUAUCCGGAUUUAUUGGGUUUAAAGGGUCCGUAGGCGGAUUUGUAAGUCAGUGGUGAAAUCUCACAGCUUAACUGUGAAACUGCCAUUGAUACUGCAAGUCUUGAGUGUUGUUGAAGUAGCUGGAAUAAGUAGUGUAGCGGUGAAAUGCAUAGAUAUUACUUAGAACACCAAUUGCGAAGGCAGGUUACUAAGCAACAAC
rnacentral:rRNA from 1 species